rnacentral:lncRNA from 1 species
CCGUUUAGAUUCCCUUCAAGAGGAAUCGUUUGGAGCAGACUUUGUAUUUUGUUUUAAACUUUGAGGCUAGUUUUUAUAAUUAUGCUAUCUAAUAUUUUGUAUUCUAAAAGGUAGAUGGCAUGAUUGCCUCAGGAUACAGUCUUUUGUAAAUUUUUUAUGGAAUCUAUACUUCUACUGCAAUGUAAAUAUCUAUCUUAUGUUUGCUCAUUUGGACGUUGGUGCCCUGUUUGGCAUUAGGACGUCACAUUUCUUUUCUUUUCUUUUCAUUUAUACGCAAUGGAGCAAGGAUAGAAGCAUUAUUGAUGUAGUAUAUGUAAAAAUUCAGUCUAGUUAGGAUGAAGAUGAAG